AGAAUCAACGCUGGCGGCGUGCCUAACACAUGCAAGUCGAACGAGAAAGGGGAGCAAUCCCUGAGUAAAGUGGCGCACGGGUGAGUAACACGUGACUAACCUACCCUGGAGUGGGGGAUAACUGAGGGAAACCUUAGCUAAUACCGCAUAACACCUACGGGUCAAAGGAGCAAUUCGCUUUGGGAGGGGGUCGCGGCCGAUUAGUUAGUUGGCGGGGUAAUGGCCCACCAAGACAGUGAUCGGUAUCCGGCCUGAGAGGGCGCACGGACACACUGGAACUGAAACACGGUCCAGACUCCUACGGGAGGCAGCAGUGGGGAAUUUUGCGCAAUGGGGGAAACCCUGACGCAGCAACGCCGCGUGGAGGAUGAAGUACUUCGGUACGUAAACUCCUUUCGAUCGGGACGAUAAUGACGGUACCGGAAGAAGAAGCCCGGCUAACUUCGCGCCAGCAGCCGC
rnacentral:rRNA from 1 species